GACCAGCGGCGGCUGGAGCUUGCUACAGAGACUCUGCAGCAUCAGCCCAGAUUCUUGAUACAGGAGGCCAUAAGACUGCACUGACAGGAGCGGGACAACGUCGGGAGAGAUGCGGUGGGGGUCACGUGGUGUGCGACGGAUGACGUCGAGAGGAGGCGCUGGAUGCGUCAUGACGUCAUCCCUAGCGGACGGAUCGAGAAACAGCUCCAGCUGUUUGGACACAUGGUGAUGGUGAUGGGUAUUUAGGCUGAACUGUUCUCCAUAAAGGACAGUCAUUUAAUGUGUGGGCGUUGUGCUGCAUUGUGGGCUCUUCACGAAGGACGCCAAAACCAUUGUUGAGGUUGUCUCAUCAGAAGCCUUUUUGGACGACCACUCCGUGACUUGUUAGCCACAGUCCCAGUUUCUUGUAAUUUGGAAAUUAGGCACCUGACAGUGUUAUGUGAAAUUGGAGGUCUUUCUGGGUGCCGGUUGCUAAAAGCUGCAGCUAUGACAUGGAAACUUCGUUCUUCAGACAUCAAAAUGACCUCAAUUAUCUCCUCUUUUGUCAAAGCCAUCUUCAGUUACCUGCAACAAAAAAAGUGUUGUAACUUUUGAACCAUAACUGCUAUUUCAAAUCUGUUUG